rnacentral:rRNA from 1 species
GUGGGGAAUCUUAGACAAUGGGCGCAAGCCUGAUCUAGCCAUGCCGCGUGAGCGAUGAAGGCCUUAGGGUUGUAAAGCUCUUUCGUGGGGGAAGAUAAUGACUGUACCCCAAGAAGAAGCCCCGGCUAACUCCGUGCCAGCAGCCGCGGUAAUACGGAGGGGGCUAGCGUUGUUCGGAAUUACUGGGCGUAAAGCGCACGUAGGCGGACUGGAAAGUCAGGGGUGAAAUCCCGGGGCUCAACCCCGGAACUGCCGUUGAAACUCCCAGUCUUGAGUUCGAGAGAGGUGAGUGGAAUGCCGAGUGUAGAGGUGAAAUUCGUAGAUAUUCGGAGGAACACCAGUGGCGAAGGCGGCUCACUGGCUCGAUACUGACGCUGAGGUGCGAAAGCGUGGGGAGCAAACAGGAUUAGAUACCCGAGUAGUCC